AUUGAACGCUGGCGGCAGGCCUAACACAUGCAAGUCGAGCGGAUGAAGAGAGCUUGCUCUCUGAUUCAGCGGCGGACGGGUGAGUAAUGCCUAGGAAUCUGCCUGGUAGUGGGGGACAACGUUUCGAAAGGAACGCUAAUACCGCAUACGUCCUACGGGAGAAAGCAGGGGACCUUCGGGCCUUGCGCUAUCAGAUGAGCCUAGGUCGGAUUAGCUAGUAGGUGGGGUAAAGGCUCACCUAGGCGACGAUCCGUAACUGGUCUGAGAGGAUGAUCAGGCACACUGGAACUGAGACACGGUCCAGACUCCUACGGGAGGCAGCAGUGGGGAAUAUUGGACAAUGGGCGAAAGCCUGAUCCAGCCAUGCCGCGUGUGUGAAGAAGGUCUUCGGAUUGUAAAGCACUUUAAGUUGGGAGGAAGGGCAGUAAGCUAAUACCUUGCUGUUUUGACGUUACCAACAGAAUAAGCACCGGCUAACUUCGUGCCAGCCGCCGCUGUAACAC
rnacentral:rRNA from 1 species